UCUCGAAUGUAGGAGCAGCACUCCCAAUUUCACUCAUCAUGAAACCUAGAAUCUAAAGCUAACACCGCAAGAUAUGGAGGAAGCUAAAUAAAACAGAUCAAUUGAAGUACUUUUUCUGUUUUCAGGUAGUUGAAAUUGCUCACAAAUCACAAUAACAUGACCUUGAAUUCAGAUUUUUCCGGAGGUACAGCCCAGUAAAGUCGCUUCUUCUGAUACUAAGAGUAUUCUACAAGUCAACAUGUACAAAAUAGACUUACUAAGUAAUAACCCCAUAGAAUCACUGUAUCCAUAUAAAGAUAAAGAGGAAUAUCUUAUACAACAAAAAUCCAGUUCUGUAGAACUUAUUAAAACUUAAAUAAAGAUGCAGGAUGCCGUCCACAGCACAAGUCAACAUCAUGUACGAAUGAUCCCAUGUCACAAUUGAGUCAGGCAGAGCAGGGAAUUUGCCAAGCCCCGGACCGGGUACUGGGCCAUUGUGGGCUACGAUGAAAUAUAUCCUUGAUUAGACUCACGGUAAAAAAAAACUGGGCUUAAAUUCCUAGAAUUGCCUCUGCCCAGUGCAUAUCUCGCCUAAGCACACUUUAAGCUUAAGGUCAGGCAUUCUGCUAACACCUAGCGCCUAGGCACAAGCUUAAGCACACACCUAGCAGCCCUUCCCUUUUUUUAUCAUUGGUUGGACCCAAAACCAGAAGCAAAUGCUAAAGGAAAAAAAAUAAGCCAUGGCUGCCGGCAUUGUUUCCCGACCAUGAGUGACAAUUGCUUACAGUUUUUUUUUCACCCUGUUUCCUUUAAUUCAAAGGAAGGCAGAACACCAGCUAGAUUUCUGGAGUAAAUAAAAUGAGAAUAAGUAAGACCAAAUCUGGAAAGAAAACAAAUGUAUCAUUUUGAGCUAGAACCUAGGAAUAACUAUGGCCAGACACCCCUUAUCAAUCAAAAAAUCACACAUGCCCAAAAACGCUUCUAUGGCACAUACCCAAACAGGCAAGUGGUAGUAAUGCCACCAUCCAAAUAUAUAUGUAGAUUCCACCUGAUUACAGAAGGACUCUGACAUCAGUAUUAUUUGAUAUGGGUCAUUUAGUAGUUCAAUUAUACAACCUAGUUGUUUCCCACUUAAUUAUUUGCAGUAUUGUUUGUCUGAUUCCAUAUGAAGAGUAUGCUGAAGGCAUACACCGAAUGUAGGCACGUGAUUCCGUGCUAAUUAUGCCAGGUAAAUCCUCACACAUCCAAAUCUAUCUUUAACUUCAACCUGAUUGCCCAAAGACUGUUAGCCUAACAUAAAUAUUCUUUGAAAUAUGCCACUAGUAAGUUGUACUCAGUUCUCUUAUUGCAGUCAGGACAUAUGUUUUUUUUAACUUAAUUAUUUGCAUUAUUGUUCUUCCCGAUUCAAUACAGGCUAGGCCAGCAAGCAUUAUACUAUCGGUGCCACCAAUAUCAAGUACGCCAUAAAUAAACUAAUUCUAGUUACAUAUCGCCAUAUCCUCACACGUCAAAUACCCGUGCAAUAACAUUACCUAAAUUGGCAACCUCGUGAACAGCAAAUUUAAGCCUUCAUAAAUAGAGCGUGCCAACGAUCUCAAAACAUUCCGGUAACGGAAAAAAUGGUCAAAUCACAUUUCAUGCAACGAUAAAUUGUCCAUAGCAGUCAACCGUCCUACCCGCGAAUGCAGUGCGUGACGCCGCAGAGCUUAUUGAUGCCCCGAAGACGACAGAGAAAAAUUGGUUCAUGGUGUGAAUUUCUAUCCUGGAGACCCCAAUACCACUUGUUCCCACGGCAUUACAUCAUGCCAUGCAUACAGAACACAAAUAAACCGGCACAUGAAGAGAGUAUCGCAAUGUUGAGGUGUCGCUGAAUCGUCGUAGUCCAGAGACAUCACAUAUGCAAACAACUAAACAUGCAUAUAAAGAAUACUAGUAAGAUACCCGUGCAUUUCACGGAACACCAAGAUUGGGGGUGAACGGCGCUGGCAGCGGUCAUUACACCAGAUUGUUCCAUGACCUUCUGGAUGUUUUAGGAAGAGAUAAGGCUGAUUGUGAGAGGCAAGGAAUGGUUUGUAAAUAUGAAAACAGGUGCGUGCAUCUUUUUGCAAAACUGCAGCAGUUUGCUUUGUAUGCGUCAGAUCCAGAUCCGGCGGCUAUUGGUGAUAGAUGGCAGGCACACCAUCAUCACCAACUCCAACUUAGGUCCAACUUAGGUUUGGUCUUUAUAGGAGCAGAGAUAAAGAAGGGGACGCAAGCAAGCAGUGGGAGAAGCGAGGUGGACCUGUUCAAGGGCAGAGUGCUCCUUGUCGUCCUCGUGGCCGGCAUCAGCGUCGUCCCCCUGGGCCUCCCGCACGGGGCACAGCGGGGCGGUGGUGGCGAAGUAGUCGUCAUCGUCAUCGUCCUCAACGUCGGCCCAGGACUUGGCCGUGAGCGGCGCGGGCGUCGAGAACACCUCCGGCUUUUCCACCACCGGCGCCUGCUUCUUCUCGGCUGCCGCCGGCUUCUUCUUCUUGAGCGUCUCGAGCGCCGCGAACACGUUGCCGCUGCCGAUCCUCAGCUCCUCGGCGCCGGCCCCUCUCCUGUUCCCUCCCCCGGCCAUCUCUCUGUCAGCCACAACAACAACCGCAACUGCUGCCGCUCUGGUCUUGCCUGGGGUUCUCUUAACUCCCCGAUCUGCGGCAAGGCGGGGCACGCGGCCACGCUUGCUUGCUCCGGAUCGGGAGAAUCGGGCGCGAGGAACCAAGGAGACACACCAACGGGCAGAGCUUCCGCGGGGUUGCUUGUUGGAGGCCGGAUUGGAAUUUGCGCGAUUUGGGUUCCGUCGUCUGUUGGGUUAGCAGUGGAGAAGACGAAGAGGGCGGCGGCGGCGGCGUGCGUGCUACUCUACGCCUCUCGCUGCGUUUCGCUUUCGCCAUGGCAGAUGGUAGUACAACUCGGAUCGUAUCGUACUCUUAUCUGGAGUUGAACGGGAACCUUGGUCUUGCAGCCGACACGUGCCCUUCCUUCGGGCACGGUUUCUAUCCGUCGGAAGGCCAUGGUGGAGAUCUGAGCCGUCGGAGCUGUCGAGAGAUAUUAAGUUCACCAGGAGGCAUCAUCAACCUCUAUAACUAGAUUGGUACCACGCCUUGGCGCGGGGUGCCGGUCCCAAUGAUAUUCCCAAACAGAUAAUAAUCAAGUUUGUAGGAAGCAUGGUUCAGCUUAUAUAUUCAGAUUUUUUAGUUCAAAAGAAAGAACAAACAUUUACAUGUACAACAUGAGGGGGCGAGUACUCAGAGCAGGAAAAUAAAAAGAAAGCAAAAGCCAAACAGAGUGGCGAUAGAGAUGGUAAAACAUGGUACUACGGGUUCUUCUUCAUGUGGAAUGUGACCACUUUGUCAAAGAACUAUCAUAACAGAGCCUCUCAACGACAUGAUCAAACAUUAGUUUCUUUGCGCGUUUCUAUAACAAAAUGCAAUCAACAUGAAUAUUAUUUCAUAAAACCAAAUGGGCACUUCUCCAACACAUGUUCUGCAUAUUCUCAAUUCUGAUAAAGCCAAGUAUAAACCUGAACUUAUGGAAAUAAUAUCAGUUUAAAAACAUCCAGGAAUGUAAGUUAACUAAAACGAAUGUCAGUUUAGCUCAAUGCUACAAAUUGUAGAAUUCACAAAAAAAAAUAAGCACAAAAAGAUAUCUAAUGCAGCAAAUUGCUGAGCCAAAACAUUUUGAGCCAGAUAAAAUAACUCCAAAUUUUGUUUCUGUGACCUAGAACCCGAAUAUGUCAACGACCUGGACUGCAAGUUAUGUGACGAACCGGCCGGAAACCUUAUCAAGCUCCAUGAUGCCGGCAACCUGCAAGCCAAAACGAUGGAUGUAGCAGCGGUCAGAGAGANNNNNNNNNNNNNNNNNNNNNNNNNNNNNNNNNNNNNNNNNNNNNNNNNNNNNNNNNNNNNNNNNNNNNNNNNNNNNNNNNNNNNNNNNNNNNNNNNNNNNNNNNNNNNNNNNNNNNNNNNNNNNNNNNNNNNNNNNNNNNNNNNNNNNNNNNNNNNNNNNNNNNNNNNNNNNNNNNNNNNNNNNNNNNNNNNNNNNNNNNNNNNNNNNNNNNNNNNNNNNNNNNNNNNNNNNNNNNNNNNNNNNNNNNNNNNNNNNNNNNNNNNNNNNNNNNNNNNNNNNNNNNNNNNNNNNNNNNNNNNNNNNNNNNNNNNNNNNNNNNNNNNNNNNNNNNNNNNNNNNNNNNNNNNNNNNNNNNNNNNNNNNNNNNNNNNNNNNNNNNNNNNNNNNNNNNNNNNNNNNNNAACCUGGACUGAGUGGAGCAGCGUGGAUCUCGCAUCAAAGAGGACAGGCAACGGCGACGGCUGGCCACCGGAUCCAGCACUGCUACAUGCCAUCCAGCGCUGCAACAACAGUAAUCACCUUAUAGAAUAUCUAAAAAUGACCCUAUCUACAUGCCAAAUUAGAAAGAGUAGUCCACAGUAAAAUCGCAUGGACAAACAAAGGGUCAACACAGGCACAAAGAGUCAGGACACACACACACACACACACACACAUAGAGAGAGAGAGAGAGAGAGAGAGAGGCCGAGGAUCACCGCAUGAACAAAUAUUGAAUUCUGUAGGCAAACACAAAGACACCGGAUUCUUUAAACAACCUCUCUCUCUCUCUCUCUCUGCAUGUAUAAGUUCAUCCUAGUUCAUAACUGUUAUGUUAACCGGGUAAGCUGUAAGUAAUGUCGUCGCUUUGGUCCAAUUGCAUAAACAUGUGAUGAUCAACUUCAGAGAAGUUAAAAGGGAAGUGGGAAAACCUCAGCACAACAUAUACAACAUAACAUCUCAAGUAAACCUAUAGAAGUGACAUUGAGAAACUUUAAAAAAAGGAACAGGCUCAUCAGGGGCUUGGAAGCAUUGAUGUGAGGUCUUGACCUUGAGGGAAAUUGUCCGUGUUCUAGAAGUACCUAAAUGGAUGAAUAGAAAGAGUCACAAUAAAGCAGAAGGCGACUAAAAUGUCACAACAAAGCAUGCUAAAUUAUUGUCCACCAGGUCUUUCACAGGUUUUUAUGUAUUAUAUUUCCUUCCCAUUAGUGUAUAAGGUUGUGCACUAAGGUCACCAAGGCAAGAACAUGCAAAAAUUAAAUCGAAGUUGGUCAGAUACGCAAAUAGCAUCCUAUAUUAGUAAGCAAGAGGUGCAUACUUCCAUUUAUCAGUAGAUUUCAACAUAUGUUUAUUUUUGUAUAAAGAAUAAUAAAUGUAUAUAUAUAUAUGUGCUAGUAAAAAACUAUAAAAUCAUGUACUACAUCAGUAAAAUCGAUACGAUCCAACAUAGCACAUGCUGUGAUAAUAUGCACAGCCGGUCGACAUAGAACCUAACUCGUGCUUACCAUCAUUUACAUUAAAAAGGACGGGGAAGCUACUACAACUUCCUGUACUGGUCAUCUAAUACAAAUAAACAAUGCAGGAAAAGCCUCUUUUACUUGGAUCAUACAUAACAACAAGAGAUGGGAUGGUGACCGUGUAAAAUAAAUUACCGGGAGUGGAGAUCAGCGACAAUCGUGACUCGUCACCAUAAAAGCCAUAAGCCCUCCCACACUCAUCAUACGUAAAUACACAAGAACAUAAGAAAAUAUAUUUUUUAGGAAAAAAGUUCAAAAAUACACAUUUUUUGCUUGUGAUGAUAUACAUGCAGCAGUUAAUGUAUUAUCCAUAAAACAAAGAAUGUGUGCCUCAUAUUAAUCAUCCUUUCACACAUAACUUAACAUGCAGCAAAAAGAUUUAAUCUAUAGUCCAAGAUUAAUGAACGCAAAAUGAAUGAGUCCUUUACAGUAAGGCAAUUAUUGAUUAUAAUGGAGUGUGAAUACAUCAUAUGUUUACUUGAUGGAAAUUGCAGUCAAGAAAAGCAUAGAAUGAGUCGAGUACCUUCUGGUUCGCCCAAUUUGCUCGUGGUCAUCAAAGGUGUUCUCGAGAUCAAACAACCAAGUAUGAACUCCCGAACUUCUGACCAAAUAGCAGGGUGUACACCUUAAACCACAGAGAAUAGAGAGCCGGCCAUGUUAGAGAUUAUAUGAGGAGAGGUAGGCAAAAAAGUAAUGGUCUUAAAAUAAAAUGAGGGAUGUCUCAUAUAUCUUUACCCUUGUCAGAAUCCAGUUUAGAACAUAGGGAAUAUUUAGGGAGCCUUGUUGCAGAAAUAUAGAAUGCCAUUUUCAACCACCUAAUGUUUUUGAAGCUGAAACUGAACCGAUUGGCACUAUUGAUUUAGCACACUUCUCAGAGAUUUGAAUCCUUCCCAUGGUGCCUAAUUCCGGGCGUGUUCGGUAGCUCUCCACAGCCUCAAAAUCCUCAACUCCAUAGCCCAAAACCAGCAGCCGGCUUCUCAGUUAAAAUCCUGGAGUUACAAAUCGUUCGGUAGAGUAGCUCCUCGUUCUGGCCGUUGAAACAGGCCGCCAGCCACCUAGCUAUGAGAAAUAGCAGCUCGGGAGGGCCCAACUAGGCGUGACAGCCCAUCUACGCGUGGGAAGCCUGCUCUGGCGAACGAACGAACCGGUAACUCACUUGGCGGUGGCACUUAGAUGUAAUUCUUGGCAACUCCUGCUUCGCUGUUUUGGAGGAGCUCGAGUUUGCCAGCUCCGCGACUCCGCAAAAAUUGCACUGCAAGUUUCGCCAGCUUCUCUCGCUCAUAACCAGGAUUUGGAUCGUUCGGCUGCACAUAUCUUAUAGCAGCAAAGAAAUCUAAUGGCCAGCGCAGUCGACUGGGAGACUUGACAGACUGAGUUUUAGCUUGCCUGUUUCAAUAAAGCUAGCUAUCAAGGCCUUUCCAACAACAAAAAACCACUGGAUGAAUUGUACAGAAGAAAAAAAUCAGUAGAAAUAACUCAACCUGACGCACACUAUUAGGGAGUGUACCAGAUUCCGUUCAAGAAAAAUCAAAACAACAAGCAAAAUCAAAGCAAAUCAGCAAACCAACGCAAGCAACCACAAAACAAAACAUGUAGUACGAAAUACCCACAUUUACCAUGUACUCCCUCGGUCCGAAAAUACUUGUCGCAUAAAUGGAUAAAGAUGGGUGUAUCUAGAACUAAAAUAUGUCUAGCCAUUUCGCUGACAAGUAUUUCACCACGGAGGGAGUAUUCAAAAGGGUUUCUGUCAUGAACAAUUCAGAGCUCAGCACACAACAAGUCCAUCUAUAGAGAAUUCCAAGAUGCGCACCAGAGGGUGGCCUCCUCCUAGUGGAGGCGCACAGUAUCUAAGGAAUUGCAUAAUCUGAGCAGUAAUUCACCGCAGGGGCUGCUGAUUAUAGUGGUUCUUGUCUUUCUUCUUCGCUGCCACAAGCUUUGCUCUCCUAGCGGCCGCCUCAGAUGCUGCAAUCUUUGCUGCUGCGUCCAUCUCUUUGCUCGAUUUCUUUUUCUUCAUUGAUGCUACUUUCUUUAUGCGCUCCUUGACAUCCACUGAAGCAACAUCUUCAUCAGGUUCUACACCAGCAGCAUUGUCGACCACAUUGUUCUGAUCCAGUGUUUCUUCUGCCUCCUUUGAAGACUUGUCUUUCUUAGCUUUCUUCUUCUUGGAGGUCUUACUCUCCAGAGGAGCGGAUGCAUCUUCCUUUUUCCCUGCUUCAGCAGCCUGGCCCAUACCUUCCUUGUCUGCAAAAUAUGCUCAACAUGUGAACACAAUGCUUAAUAAACCUUCAGAAUCACCGUCUUCAGGCCUUACAAAAGAAGUCACAAAAUAUUAACAGCAUAACAGUUACCAAUAUAAAAACAUAUCUAGGUAUGCUCAAUUUUCACAGAAUGUUUCUUCUGGAAAAAUUUAAUGGCAAGAAGAAGAUAUUUUUACUUACCAUUUGUUUCAUCUUGAGUAGCAUUACUUGAUUCAUAUGAAAUUCCCAACUCAGCCAAUACAGCAUCAAGCUCUUCCAACUCCUUUUUCUUUAACUCCUUCUUGGAGAGCUGUCUUUCGGUAUCUUUAGGAGGUACUAGUGGAGCUAUAGCUUUCUGAACUGCCGGCUCAGAAGGGACAGCAUCUCCUGCUUCAUGUUCAUCCUCAGCAGCAGCAUCAACCUCAUCAUCAAGGCUAUCAUCUUCACUCUCAAUUUCCUGCAGUAUACAAUUGGCAUAUGGAGAGUUAACACUUAACACUACAAAAUAUAAAGGGCACAUACUAUAUUGUACUUCAGAGCAGUAGAUGUUUUGUGUGAUCCCAUUCAAUUUGACUUGAAAUCUAAAAAAAUUCUCGAAUGUAGGAGCAGCACUCCCAAUUUCACUCAUCAUGAAACCUAGAAUCUAAAGCUAACACCGCAAGAUAUGGAGGAAGCUAAAUAAAACAGAUCAAUUGAAGUACUUUUUCUGUUUUCAGGUAGUUGGAAUUGCUCACAAAUCACAAUAACAUGACCUUGAAUUCAGAUUUUUCCGGAGGUACAGCCCAGUAAAGUCGCUUCUUCUGAUACUAAGAGUAUUCUAC
rnacentral:lncRNA from 1 species